rnacentral:tRNA from 1 species
GUGGUCACUGCGCUCGCCUUGCACGCGGGAGACCCGGGUUCGAUUCCUGGCGGGGUCA